UACAGAGGGUGCAAGCGUUGUUCGGAAUUAUUGGGCGUAAAGCGCGUGUAGGCGGCUUUGCAAGUCGGGUGUGAAAGCCCUCAGCUUAACUGAGGAAGUGCGCCCGAAACUGCUUGGCUUGAGUACCGGAGAGGAUGGCGGAAUUCCCCAAGUAGAGGUGAAAUUCGUAGAUAUGGGGAGGAACACCGGUGGCGAAGGCGGCCAUCUGGACGGAUACUGACGCUGAGGCGCGAAAGCGUGGGGAGCAAACAGG
rnacentral:rRNA from 1 species